GACGAACGCUGGCGGCGUGCUUAACACAUGCAAGUCGAACGGAAAGGCCCUGCUUUUGUGGGGUGCUCGAGUGGCGAACGGGUGAGUAACACGUGAGUAACCUGCCCUUGACUUUGGGAUAACUUCAGGAAACUGGGGCUAAUACCGGAUAUGAGCUCCUGCUGCAUGGUGGGGGUUGGAAAGUUUCGGCGGUUGGGGAUGGACUCGCGGCUUAUCAGCUUGUUGGUGGGGUAGUGGCUUACCAAGGCUUUGACGGGUAGCCGGCCUGAGAGGGUUACCGGGCACAUGGGGACUGAGAUACGGACCAGACUCCUACGGGAGGCAGCAGUGGGGAAUAUUGCACAAUGGGGGGAAGCCUGAUGCAGCAACGCCGCGUGCGGGAUGACGGCCUUCGGGUUGUAAACCUCUUUCGCCUGUGACGAAGCGUGAGUGACGGUAAUGGGUAAAGAAGCACCGGCUAACUACGUG
rnacentral:rRNA from 1 species